UCUUUUUCCAGAAGAGACCUAUAUAACUAAGGAAGAGAAGUCUUUACCAGGCCAUAAACCAAUGAAAGACAGGCUUGCUCUCUUGUUGUG